GAUGAACGCUGGCGGCGUGCCUAAUACAUGCAAGUCGAGCGAACGGACGAGAAGCUUGCUUCUCUGAUGUUAGCGGCGGACGGGUGAGUAACACGUGGAUAACCUACCUAUAAGACUGGGAUAACUUCGGGAAACCGGAGCUAAUACCGGAUGAUAUUUUGAACCGCAUGGUUCAAAAGUGAAAGACGGUCUUGCUGUCACUUAUAGAUGGAUCCGCGCUGCAUUAGCUAGUUGGUAAGGUAAUGGCUUACCAAGGCAACGAUGCAUAGCCGACCUGAGAGGGUGAUAGGACACACUGGAACUGAGACAAGGUCCAGACUCCUACGGGAGGCAGCAGUAGGGAAUCUUCCGCAAUGGGAGAAAGCAUGACGGAGCAAAGCCGCGUGAGUGAUGAAGGUCUUCGGAUCGUAAAACUCUGUUAUUAGGGAAGAACAUAUGUGUAAGUAACUGUGCACAUCUUGACGGUACCUAAUCAGAAAGCCACGGCUAACUACGUG
rnacentral:rRNA from 1 species